rnacentral:rRNA from 1 species
AAAUUGAAGAGUUUGAUCAUGGCUCAGAUUGAACGCUGGCGGCAGGCCUAACACAUGCAAGUCGAGCGGAAACGGCAGUAUUGAAGCUUCGGUGGAUUUACUGGACGUCGAGCGGCGGACGGGUGAGUAACGGCUGGGAACCUGCCCUGACGAGGGGGAUAACCGUUGGAAACGACGGCUAAUACCGCAUAAUGUCUAC